GCUUACGGCCAUACCACCCUGAGAACGCCCGAUCUCGUCCGAUCUUGGAAGCUAAGCAGGGUCGGGCCUGGUUAGUACUUGGAUGGGAGACCGCCUGGGAAUACCAGGUGCUGUAAGCU
ensembl:rRNA 5S_rRNA 5S ribosomal RNA